CAAAUCUUGCAAAGCCAAACCUCUCUCUCCCUCACUUACAAUUUUCGGCCAACUCACCUCUCUCCCUCACACACACUUUCUCCCAACACACACUCAUCUUCUCCAUUUAUCAAUUCCACCAUUUUCCUCCAUUGAUGGAAACCUUCGAAGCUUCCUAAAAUAUUACCAAACACUUCAAAUCACUCUAAUAUCCUCCAUAAACCUAUUCUAUCCACUUAUAAUCAAGAAAAUCCUUGAAGAAGAAGCUCCAAAGUAGAGUGAGAAAGUGAGAAUUUUGGUGAGAACUUGGACACGAGCAGAGCAGGGAAGUAAGUAACUCCGCUUUGACGGGAGUUUUUGAGUAAGGUCUUCAGACUAAGCGAGGAGCGAGAUUGGUCUGGUGCUGGCGGGGAAAUGUUGGAGGAUGUAUUUACUUUAUCGUAUUUCCAUUUUGACGAUAAAGUCUUGAUAAUUGAUAUACUUGGAUUUUCUUUUGAAGUUAAGCAAUGUACUCACGGUUAUAUGUCUUCAUACAUAUAAUCGAUUCGCUUUUUGCUGCGAUACUCUGCAUUUUAUGAUUCCUUACGAAAAAUGAGCGAUACCCGUUUUGUUUUUGAUCUUGAAAUUCCUGAUAAUUAAAAAGUUAUAACGACGUUGACGAUUUUACCCUUGGGGUCAUUUAUGAUGAUUUUCCUUAGCAUGAUUUAAUGCGAGCUUCCGCUUGAUGUUUGACCUAUUCUUCUUAUCAUUUAUUCUUUUAAAAAUAGUCGUAUCGAUACUCGUACCCCACUAUCACUAGUGUUGGGUUUUCGGGCUGCGACAGGGUGGUAUCAGAGCAGGUCAUCUGCUCUGAGUCUAUUGCUUGACUGAGCUGAACCUUUCAUUGUUUCUACUCUUUUAAAAUUGAGUACUAGUCUAAUUUGAAUUCUUAGGCUAGUUUGAGAGAGUCAGUUUGAAACGAAACCCCAACACCCCAUCUCCUCCGGCUUAACGAGGUAAGAGGUUGAUGUUGUUUCUUGUUGCUUUUCUGUUGAGAGCUGAGUUUGAUUCACUAAUGAGUCAUGUAUUGUUUUAAUGACGGAAUUGUUUGAGAUGAUGAAUUCUGAUACGAGGCAGUUGAUGUGGAAUACGAGGAGAGAUGUUGAGGCUAGUAUAGCCGAUUGUUUCUGUUGAGCCUCAGAUACAGUAUGUGCCCUUUGAUCCUUAUCCGAGGGUUGCCCCGUUGCCUGAGCCGGGCACUUUGGCUUUUCAGACAUAUAUACACUCGAUUCUAUAUUCACCGUCUCGAGACGCCCAGGAGGGAAGGUCUCGGCCAGUACACCUGGACAGUGAUGAGGAGGACCCGGAUGAGGAAACUCCAGAGAUGACGGUUGGCCACGGAAGGACCCAGCCAUUACAGCGUCAUAUUACUGCCGAUGGAGUCGAGACAUGGGUACCUGUUCUCGAGGUGCUGAUUUAUGGUCCGAUGAUGGACACCGACGUCGAGGAUGAGCCGAGCGAUGAUAGCAUCUACCGACUAAUCGACGAGUACGAGAGUCAGGAGUCGGAGCCGAGCGAGGAGACGGAGCCGAGUGAGGAUAUGGAGGUUGACGAUGCGACGAGCAGGAUUUCAGAAGACGACGACUAGCGAUCACGUGUAUCUAGUAGACACGUACAUACGUAUAGAUGCAUAGUCGAUAUAUACGUAUAUGUAUAUAUAUAGGAAGAAAGGCAUAGUAUAGUGUGUAUGUGCAGAUAGUAUAUAUCUAUAGGUGCUUAGUACCUAUGAUGCUUGUAUAACUAGAGCAUCAUUUUAGUGUUAGGACCUUUGUACAUAGGAUCCUACUUUUGUAAAAGACCUCGAGAGAGAGGCAAUUUUCCUUAUAUAUGUAUAUACAGAGAUGUAGUUGAUUAGUGAGUUUCACUAUCUUUA